rnacentral:rRNA from 1 species
GUAGGUGGCAAGCGUUGUCCGGAAUUAUUGGGCGUAAAGCGCGCGCAGGCGGUUCUUUAAGUCUGAUGUGAAAGCCCACGGCUCAACCGUGGAGGGUCAUUGGAAACUGGAGAACUUGAGUACAGAGAGGAAAGCGGAAUUCCACGUGUAGCGGUGAAAUGCGUAGAGAUGUGGAGGAACACCAGUGGCGAAGGCGGCUUUCUGGUCUGUAACUGACGCUGAGGCGCGAAAGCGUGGGGAGCAAACAGGGAUUAGAUACCCUGGUAGUCCACGCCGUAAACGAUGAGUGCUAAUGUUAGGGGGUUUCCGCCCCCCUUAGUGCUGCAGCUAACGCAUUAAGCACUCCGCCUGGGAGUACGGCCGCAAGGCUG